UACAUGGGGUGCAAACGUUGCUCGGAAUCAUUGGGCGUAAAGCGCGCGUAGGCGGUUAUCUAAGUCGGAUGUGAAAGCCCUCGGCUUAACUGAGGAAGUGCAUCCGAAACUGAAUAGCUAGAGUACGAAAGAGGGUCGCGGAAUUCCCGGUGUAGAGGUGAAAUUCGUAGAUAUCGGGAGGAACACCUGUGGCGAAAGCGGCGCACUGGACCAUAACUGACGCUGAGGCGCGAAAGCUAGGGAGCAACAGG
rnacentral:rRNA from 1 species